UACGAAGGGGGCUAGCGUUGUUCGGAAUUACUGGGCGUAAAGCGCGCGCAGGCGGUUCUUCAAGUCAGUGGUGAAAGCCCGGAGCUCAACUCCGGAACUGCCAUUGAAACUGUAGAACUUGAGGAUGAGAGAGGUGAGUGGAAUUCCCAGUGUAGAGGUGAAAUUCGUAGAUAUUAGGAAGAACACCGGUGGCGAAGGCGGCCAUCUGGCUCGGUACUGACGCUCAGGCGCGAAAGCGUGGGGAGCAAACAGG
rnacentral:rRNA from 1 species